GACGAACGCUGGCGGCGUGCUUAACACAUGCAAGUCGAACGGAAAGGCCCUGCUUUUGUGGGGUGCUCGAGUGGCGAACGGGUGAGUAACACGUGAGUAACCUGCUCUUGACUCUGGGAUGACUUCAGGAAACUGGGGCCAAUACCGGCUAGGACGACCUGCUGCAUGGUGGGGGUUGGAAAGUUACGGCGGGCGGGGAUGGACCCGCGGCUGAGCAGCUAGUUGGCGGGGUAGUGGCUUACCAAGGCGUCGACGGGUGGCCGGUCUGAGAGGGUGACCGGCCUCACGGGAGCUGAGAGACGGGCCGGACUCCUACGGUAGGAAGGAGUGGGGAAUAGGGCACAAAGGGCGGGAGGGUGACCGAGCCAAAGCGCGGGCGUGAAGUAGGCUGUCGGGGGGUAGAGCUGGCUUGUGGGGAAAGAAAGCCUACAGGUGAACCUCCGGGGAGGAGGACGGUACACAAAGAAUAAGAACCCGCUAACGUCGU
rnacentral:rRNA from 1 species